rnacentral:lncRNA from 1 species
UUUUAUUCCACUCAGCUAGCUCAUUUUUUCUCCCUCCUUAGAAUCUGACAGGCCAAGGAGAAUUCUGAUUUCAAAGGGAUGCUUAGAAUCUGUACUGAUGCCAUCUAGAAAUGUAAAUGCUCAGUGUCACACUGCUAAGGGAGAAAGGGUUCCAUUGAUAUUGUUGACAUGGGAGGCUGUUACAGUGUGAGGCUGCUACUUGGAGCUUCAUGAAAUUUCACAGACGUCACCAUUAGACCAAGCCUCGAAUACCUGAGUCUUUGUGGAACAUGAUGGAUUGACAACAAAAUGCUUCUUACUGAGGUAAUGGAAACUAAUGUCUACAUUAAUUAAUUGCCA